GGUUAAGCGACUAAGCGUACACGGUGGAUGCCCUGGCAGUCAGAGGCGAUGAAGGACGUGCUAAUCUGCGAUAAGCGUCGGUAAGGUGAUAUGAACCGUUAUAACCGGCGAUUUCCGAAUGGGGAAACCCAGUGUGAUUCGUCACACUAUCAUUAACUGAAUCCAUAGGUUAAUGAGGCGAACCGGGGGAACUGAAACAUCUAAGUACCCCGAGGAAAAGAAAUCAACCGAGAUUCCCCCAGUAGCGGCGAGCGAACGGGGAGCAGCCCAGAGCCUGAAUCAGUGUGUGUGUUAGUGGAAGCGUCUGGAAAGGCGUGCGAUACAGGGUGACAGCCCCGUACACAAAAAUGCACAUACUGUGAGCUCGAUGAGUAGGGCGGGACACGUGGUAUCCUGUCUGAAUAUGGGGGGACCAUCCUCCAAGGCUAAAUACUCCUGACUGACCGAUAGUGAACCAGUACCGUGAGGGAAAGGCGAAAAGAACCCCGGCGAGGGGAGUGAAAAAGAACCUGAAACCGUGUACGUACAAGCAGUGGGAGCACGCUUAGGCGUGUGACUGCGUACCUUUUGUAUAAUGGGUCAGCGACUUAUAUUCUGUAGCAAGGUUAACCGAAUAGGGGAGCCGAAGGGAAACCGAGUCUUAACUGGGCGUUAAGUUGCAGGGUAUAGACCCGAAACCCGGUGAUCUAGCCAUGGGCAGGUUGAAGGUUGGGUAACACUAACUGGAGGACCGAACCGACUAAUGUUGAAAAAUUAGCGGAUGACUUGUGGCUGGGGGUGAAAGGCCAAUCAAACCGGGAGAUAGCUGGUUCUCCCCGAAAGCUAUUUAGGUAGCGCCUCGUGAAUUCAUCUCCGGGGGUAGAGCACUGUUUCGGCAAGGGGGUCAUCCCGACUUACCAACCCGAUGCAAACUGCGAAUACCGGAGAAUGUUAUCACGGGAGACACACGGCGGGUGCUAACGUCCGUCGUGAAGAGGGAAACAACCCAGACCGCCAGCUAAGGUCCCAAAGUCAUGGUUAAGUGGGAAACGAUGUGGGAAGGCCCAGACAGCCAGGAUGUUGGCUUAGAAGCAGCCAUCAUUUAAAGAAAGCGUAAUAGCUCACUGGUCGAGUCGGCCUGCGCGGAAGAUGUAACGGGGCUAAACCAUGCACCGAAGCUGCGGCAGCGACGCUUAUGCGUUGUUGGGUAGGGGAGCGUUCUGUAAGCCUGUGAAGGUGUGCUGUG
rnacentral:rRNA from 1 species